ensembl:miRNA
GAGGUGGGAGGAUAGCUUGAAUCUGGGAAGUUGAGGCUGCAGUGAGCUGUUAUCAUGCCACUGCACUCCAGCCUGAGUGACAGAG